rnacentral:rRNA from 1 species
GGAGAAAAGCAGGGGAUCGUAAGACCUUGCGCUUUUGGAGCGGCCGAUGUCUGAUUAGCUAGUUGGUGGGUAAUGGCCUACCAAAGCUUCGAUCAGUAGCUGGUCUGAGAGGACGGCCAGCCACACUGGGACUGAGACACGGCCCAGACUCCUACGGGAGGCAGCAGUGGGGAAUUUUGGACAAUGGGCGCAAGCCUGAUUCAGCCAUGCCGCGUGAGUGAAGAAGGCCUUCGGGUUGUAAAGCUCUUUCAGCCGGGAAGAAAAGGCUGCGAUUAAUAAUCGCAGUUCAUGACGGUACCGGAAGAAGAAGCACCGGCUAACUACGUGCCAACAGCCGCGGUAAUACGUAGGGUGCGAGCGUUAAUCGGAAUUACUGGGCGUAAAGGGUGCGCAGGCGGUUUUGUAAGUCAGAUGUGAAAUCCCCGGGCUUAACCUGGGAAUUGCGUUUGAAACUACAAGGCUAGA